rnacentral:rRNA from 1 species
UACGAAGGGGGCUAGCGUUGCUCGGAAUCACUGGGCGUAAAGGGUGCGUAGGCGGGUUUUAAGUCAGGGGUGAAAUCCUGGAGCUCAACUCCAGAACUGCCUUUGAUACUGGCGAUCUUGAGUCCGGGAGAGGUGAGUGGAACUGCGAGUGUAGAGGUGAAAUUCGUAGAUAUUCGCAAGAACACCAGUGGCGAAGGCGGCUCACUGGCCCGGUACUGACGCUGAGGUGCGAAAGCGUGGGGAGCAAACAGG